ACAGCAUGUCAAGUGUUGAGGGGCCUGAUGCCAAAAUGGCCGCCCGAUGCCAGUCAGCCUCAUGGUGGAGGACAUGCUGCAUGCAACUCUCUGAACCUUCUCAUGUCACUGCAGCUUCUUAAAUGGACCAGAACUUCUUUCAUAUUUAAAAUGAAACGAUGAUGAGAACGAGGACGAGGGGGCAUGAUGAUUGUUCUUCCGACGAUGCAGCAGGAACUCCGGGUACAGCGUGCAGGUGACCCUGACUGGGGGCGGCGUUUAUUCCCACCGUGUUUGUCCUGGCCGUGAAACACUACUCAGGGAGGAGUGGAGCAUCGAUUUUCUGUGUUCUGAGCUAUUUCUGCACCAUCAACAGGUCUCAGAGGCAAACUGAUUCUGUUUCGCUUUAAAAAAAAACAAAACAACUAAACCCAGCAACCCCCAAAUCGCCGACCACCGUCCGGGUCUGCUGUGUGCGUGGCGAGCGGAUUGCGUUUGCGUUUCCAGACGAUGCCACGACCACUGCCCGAAAAACACCACUUCAUUGCCUCCAGCAGGGAGGGGAAAGCGCCGGGUCCUCAUCCCCAGACAAGGGAAGAAUAAAACCAAAUAAAAAACAACCUCCUCCCAUCCAGGGUGACGAGACGGCCGUUAUCAUGAGGCCAAUGUAAUUAUUCCAAACCCCCGCUUUGCUUCGAAAAAUAAUCUCCAUUGAUUUUUGCCGCAGUGUAGGUAAUUAAAUUCCAUAUUGACAUUCUAGCCUCAAACAAUUUACUUUUCUAAUUUACUUGUUCAGUUUGAUUUUGCCUUCUUUUUUUUUCACGCCUUGAGGAAAAAGGAAAAAAAAAACACAUUAGCACGGGACGCUUUUAUAGCUGCGAAUUAUGGCAGUUAAAUGUCGGCUAAUCACAUUAAAAGUCACAUUUCGGUCGCCGCUGAUUCAAUUGCGAGCACAGACGGGAUGAAGAUGCCUAACUUUGGUGGGAUUUUAAGGGUGUAUCGAUCUGAUAUCAAUAUCGGAUAUCUGACCGAAUCGUCUAAAUCAGGGGUGUCAAACGUACGGUCCGAGGCCCGCGAACAGGUCUUAUCCGGCCAGCAGGACACGUUUGCUAAUUAUAAAAGUUAAAAUUUAAUUGUUUAAUGGAAUAAACUGCUGUUCUAAAUGUGUCCACUGGAUGUCGCAAUAGCAAUUAUUUGUAUCCUUGUAGAUGAUGUUACAUAUGUACUAAAUAAACCACAUGAUGUAAGUACAUCAGGAAAAUGAUCAAAAAUAUAUAUAAACAACAUACAGAUUUUUACAUUUUAAAAAGGUGUUUCUUUAAAAAACAUAGAUUUUUU